rnacentral:misc_RNA from 1 species
AUGGGGUCAUUCUACACUUUUAUAAGGGGGUUUGUGUGAAAACGCAAGCGCCCUCCUGGAUCGGUUCGAUCCCAAAGGGUGCCCACGCGGUGGUGCACAAAAGGGUGAGAUGGAUUUUAUGCGAGAGGACACGCUCCGGCGUGCACGACUUUUUGUGAUUAAAAAGUCAGCGACAGCCCUUGCAUGCCUCACACAUUUUGUACGAUAAUGAUCCUUCCGCAGGUUCACCUACGGAAACCUUGUUACGACUUUUACUUCCUCUAAAUGACCAAGA